UACAGAGGUCUCAAGCGUUGUUCGGAUUCCUUGGGCGUAAAGGGUGUGUAGGUGGCGCGCUAAGUCGGGUGUGAAAUUUCGGAGCUUAACUCCGAAACUGCAUUCGAUACUGGCGUGCUUGAGGACUGGAGAGGAGACUGGAAUUUACGGUGUAGCGGUGAAAUGCGUAGAUAUCGUAAGGAAGACCAGUGGCGAAGGCGGGUCUCUGGACAGUUCCUGACGCUGAGGCACGAAGGCCAGGGGAGCAAACGGG
rnacentral:rRNA from 1 species